GACGAACGCUGGCGGCGUGCUUAACACAUGCAAGUCGAACGGAAAGGCCCUGAUUUUGUGGGGUGCUCGAGUGGCGAACGGGUGAGUAACACGUGAGUAACCUGCCCUUGACUUUGGGAUAACUUCAGGAAACUGGGGCUCAUACCGGAUAGGAGCUCCUGCUGCAUGGUGGGGGUUGGUAAGUUUCGGCGGUUGGGGAUGGACUCGCGGGUUAUCAGCUUGUUGGUGGGGUAGUGGCUUACCAAGGUUUUGACGGGUAGCCGGCCUGAGAGGGUGACCGGCCACAUUGGGACUGAGGUACGGCCCAGACUCCUACGGGAGGCAGCGGUGGGGAAUAUUGCACAAUAGGCGGGAGCCUGAUGCAGCAACGCCGCGUGCGGGAUGACGGCCUUCGGGUUGUAAACCACUUUCGCCUGUGACGAGGCGUGAGUGACGGUAAUGGGUAAAGAAGCACCGGCUAACUACGUG
rnacentral:rRNA from 1 species